rnacentral:rRNA from 1 species
CUGCUGCCUCCCGUAGGAGUUUGGGCCGUGUCUCAGUCCCAAUGUGGCCGAUCAACCUCUCAGUUCGGCUACGCAUCAUUGCCUUGGUAAGCCUUUACCCCACCAACUAGCUAAUGCGCCGCGGGCCCAUCCAAAAGCGGUAGCAUAGCCACCUUUUACAUAGUUACCAUGCGGUAACUAUGGUUAUGCGGUAUUAGCACCUGUUUCCAAGUGUUAUCCCCCUCUUUUGGGCAGGUUGCCCCACGUGUUACUCACCCGUUCGCCA